UUUGGGCUCUUAUUUCUGCUAAAGCCUGCAGUGUUUCGGGUCUCACAUUUCAUUUCACUUUAAAUUUCGGUUUCGGUGACGGUGAGUAUUCAUUAUUCACGUUAUCCAUUCAAGAGAGUUGAAUUAAUAGAUUCCGGCGAAGUAUAGAGGAGACGGAGGGAUAAAGAAACCAUGAGUGUGUUUGGAGGAGAUAGCUGGGCGAGGGAAGCGCAAUGUAGGAAGAGAAGAGUCGAUGAAUUGAUGGUUGACAACAUCGAUUCUUCUGCUUAUAAGAAGCUCUCCAGCGGUAAAUUCGUCUGCAUCGUUUGCUCUCACCGUCCGGUCCUCGACACUCCCCUCAUGCUCUCUGUACAUGUCAAAGGUUCAAGCCAUCGAGCAGCAGAGACAAGGCUUAGAGAAAGAGAAUUAGGGAGGCAAGAUGAGAUAAACAAGAGAAUAGCCUUGUCAGAAUGUGAUACUGCGACCUCGAAAACCUUGACAUCCAGCCAGUUAUGUAGAUCAGCAAGCAAACCAUUGAUUGGACGCACAAGGAAAGCUGCUUCUGAUGUACUUCAUCAAAAUUUGGCACAAAGUACUGCUUCUCAAGGGGAUGAGAUCAAAUGUACCAAGGUUGAUACUUCAAGUGUUCUAGCUAAUCAAAGAAGUAGUCAGUGUGUUCAGAUCGGAGUGACAACAAAUCAAACUAUCAUGUCUCAGGCAUACAACCAGGAACGACGAGAAAGGGAGCUUAAGUUCACAUCUGCUGGCUGGAAGCGUGAUGGCCAUGGGAAGUGGUUUAAGGAAGAAAAUGUAGAGUUUGAUUCCGAUGAAGAAGAACCUAAUCUCUGCCUUCCAUGACUAUUGGUUGAAAACAAGUGUCCAUCACUAUGUAUCACUUUCCAUGUAGGGAAUUGAUUACUAGUUCCAUUCAAGUUCAAGAUAAUCCAGAUGUAUUCCAAUGUCUGAAUGUCCCUGUUAUUCAUGGUUAUGAUUCUUGUGUUACAAUGGUUAUGUUGGACGAGAUUUCAAUUUAACAGGAAUUCAUGGAAAAUAAUAUUAGUCACCGAGACUUACCUCUGUCCUGAAUACUGCUGCCUAUUUCAAUUUUUGGAAUAUGGGAAAUGUUGGACCAUCGGAGUUUGGGCCACUCAGAUUGAUGCAACUUUCUUGUAACUGUGGGCAGCCACCAAUUCGCAGGUUCCGUAAUUUAGUGAGGCGUAGCAUGACAUCUUUGGAUGGUAGAUUCUCUAGUUUAUCGCAGUUCCAAAAACUUAACUCUCGCUAAGGAACAAGGUUUCCAAGCCCAUCCGAGACAGCUUCUAACCAUGCAUGGACAAUCACGGAUCACCACAUAUUGUAAUUUGGGCCUGACAUCUGAGAAAUCUACAUGUUGUAGCCGUUUGCACCUCUCUAGCGUUAAAUCUUUCAAGAAAAGUAAGGUUGGGAAAUACGAGGAAGAGCCUCAAUUCCGAAUCCAUGUAUUCGGAUCACUGUUAGGUCAAAAAGUUGCAUAAGCUGAUAGGGAAGAGAAUCCCAGUGCAAGUGUCCCCACACCUACACAAGUUCAACAAUGGCAUUUCACUGUCAACUCCUUCAAUGCUUAGUUCACGGAGGAUUUCAAAUUGACUUGAAGUAAUUUUUAACAAUGGACACUUUGUAAUCUUCAACUUCAUCUCCCUUCCACUCAAUAAGGUUACGCAUAUUCCUCAACACUAGUUCUUUCAAUGAUGGGAACACUUGGAUAUUAAGAUUAUUGUUGCUUGAUCCAUUAUCAUUAACAUCAACACCAUAAAAUUUCGGUCCGAUGGAUUCCAAUUCAAGGAAUCCUAUCAGCUCAAGAUGCCGAAGGAACUUCAGUUGGCCAAGCGAUGGAAUAUCUUUGCACCUCUUGCAACCACUUAAUUUCAACAUUCUAAAUUUGGUAGCAAUCCUUCACGGGACCAUGAAGGAAAUUUAGUUCCUAAAUAGUUCACUACUGCUAAGGUUUUCAAGUUUGGAUGCGGUUGAAGACCAUGUAACACGUGCUCAUCAUUGAUCUCGCAGUCUUGUGAUUCAUCAUGGGACCAUAAAUAUUCCAGCUUGUAGAUAUUUGGUUUCUCUAAUAAAUAUGUUGUUCGAGCC